AUACUACUGAAGAGUCCCAAACUAGGACGAAACGGCCGUCCAGUAC
rnacentral:hammerhead_ribozyme from 1 species